GCCGGGCAUGGUAGCUUAUGCCUGUAAUCCCAGCACUUUGGGAGGCAGAGAUGGGUGGAUCACCUGAGGUCAGGAGUUCCAGACCAGCCUGACCAACAUGGUGAAACCCCAUCUCUA
rnacentral:SRP_RNA from 2 species